ACACCGGAUUUUUAUCUUUCAAAUCCUCAAAUCAAACAAUGUAAGUUGAGGCAUAACUUAUUUAUCUUUGUCACAUAUAUCAAACCCAAUGCCAAUGCUACCUUGGAAUGGGCAACCAUCAUAAGCAAUUCUUAAUAUAUGGCAUGUGCAUAUUGAUUAACUUCUACUAAUUCUUGUAAACAACUAUCAUCAAUGUACACAUGAAUGACUAACAAUAAUCUAGAAAAGAACAUUGCUACCCAGUUCAAGCGCAACCUUU